UACGAAGGGGGCGAGCGUUGUUCGGAAUCACUGGGCUUAAAGCGUACGUAGGCGGCCAUCCAAGUCAGGAGUGAAAUCCCAGGGCUCAACCCUGGAAUUGCUUUUGAAACUAGGUGGCUAGUGUCCCGGAGAGGUUGGCGGAAUUCCGAGUGUAGAGGUGAAAUUCGCAGAUAUUCGGAGGAACACCAGUGGCGAAGGCGGCCAACUGGACGGGUACAGACGCUGAGGUACGAAAGCGUGGGGAUCAAAC
rnacentral:rRNA from 1 species